rfam:Xiphophorus maculatus strain JP 163 A Contig644.2, whole genome shotgun sequence.
GUGGGCUACGGCGACAUGUGUCCAGUGACCAUCGGUGGGAAGAUCGUGGGCUCCCUGUGCGCCAUCGCCGGGGUCCUGACGAUCGCGCUUCCGGUUCCGGUCAUCGUCUCCAAC